AAGGAAUUGUUUUUUUUUUCUUUCUUCUCUCUUCUUGCUCGAUCCUCUCUCUUCUAUGUCGAUCCAGACGGCGAAUCGAAGGCGAUUCAGAAAAAUCAAUCCAUAGUUCCAGACCCAAUUCAUCUUUGAGCUUUGUCAUCCAUUCCUUCAAAUUCUUCAUCGGAAUAUCCACUCCGAUCUAAAAACCGCCUUUCAUCUUCUUCUUCGCGUUGCCCUCUCUCGUCGUCGGCGGCAGAUUAAAAUCGCCCUUCAAUUCUACAGUUGCAAGAACAUGCUCUUUCAAAACCAAAUUCGAGCCUUCUCACAACUAAAUUUUGUUCCUUUAUUGAUUCUCUGAAAUCAGUCUCUGUUAUUUUUGUACUUUUUGCUUUCCAAUGAUGGGAAGAGUAGACAAUUUGCUUUUAUUUGAUAUCGUAGUGCUGAAGAAGCUCAAGAAGCUAUCAAGUAUUUCAACAAGUCUUUUCUUGAUACUUCUCGUAUAUAUGUGAUGAUGUUUAAAGCUGGUCGCCUUUUCGUGAUGAUGACAAUGAUGAUGUUCUUGACACUGAUCGCCUUUUCGUCCGUAACCUGCCUUACAUUGCAACAGAAGAAGAGCUUAUGGAACAUUUAAGCAAAUUUGGUGAGAUAUCAGAAGUCCAUCUUGUUCUUGACAAGGAGACGAAAAGGUCCAAAGGAAUUGCCUACAUCCUUUACCCGAUUCCGGAAUGUGCGGCAAGGGCAAUGGAGGAAUUAGAUAACUCAAUUUUCCAGGGCCGGUUGUUGCAUAUUUUUCCAGCCAAGCACCGUGAAACGUCUGAUAAACAAGUGAAUGACACUUCUAACCUGCCAAAAACAUUCAAGCAAAAGAGAGAGGAACAAAAUAAUAUAUUAUACUCACGAGAAAAAAAAUAAUUGUUGAAUAUACCUACUUAAGAGGUUCACGAAUCUUGGCUAAUGAUCAGAAGCAACGAGUAAGACUCAUCCCGGUGAAGCUAGCUGUACCUACUUCUCUGGCAAAAGCUGAUGCAACUCAGGUUAUCAGUGCUGGUCAAUCUGUUUCUGAUGAUAUGCCUUUUGUUGAGAAUGCUGGGAUGUCUCUUUGCAUGGAAUCAAAAGCAUGGCUGAAGAAUGGGGAACAGAUACUCUUACUGGGGCAAAGAAUUUAAGAAUUCAGCCUGAAAGCUUAAGUAUUGGCUGCAUAAAGCUCCUCAGCCACACAACUUACAUAUGUGUUUUUCUUCAGAAUAUGGUUAAGACUUAAGACCAAAGACCAAAUUAUACUGAUUAAUAUAUGGCAAACUUGUACACAAUGUAAGAA